CAUUUUACUCCAAGAGAGCGCACGAUCUUACUGCCACCUACUCUAUUAAUUUAAGCGUAAAGUCUGUAAAAACUAGGAUUAAACAUGCCAGUUGAGGGGUUUGCAUUCAUAUUGGAUAUUAAAACUGAUAUAACCUGAGUGCAAGCUUGAACAAAUUACAUGUGCGCACUUUGAAAAUGGGUUCGAGCAGCUCACGUGGCAGCAGCGUGGGUAGGCCGUGAAAAAUGAAGGAGCUGCACCCACAUGGAUUUCAGGAAUAACAUGGUUGUGGUUCUUCAAAAGAAGGAGGGUGACUGGCCUUGAAUUGAAACAAGUUUUCAGUGUUGCUUAUUAAUUCAUCAUGUGUGUUCAUUAUAAAAUAAACAUUCCUACAGCUA